ensembl:lncRNA
GUCUAAGGCAAUGAAUGACUCUAUGUACAGUAAGACCGGUGGUUCCAUGCUUACUUAGCUGGAUCGUGGGUAAAAUGUACCACAUCAGGUACUAGUGGGCUUUGAGUAUUCUUUUCAGAAGGAAAUAUUUCAUAAAGAAAUGAUACUGCUCUAUGAAACAUCUAAUAAUCUGCAGUACCAGGGAAUCACCCGAUGAGUUUGCUUUGAGAGGCCUUUGCCUUGUACAGAUUGGGAAAGCCAGGAAGGUGGCUGUUACCAAUGAAGAGGCUUUGAAUAGGUCUGCUCGGCUCAGAAAGCUCCAAGAAUAGUGAAGCAGCACUGGUACUCACAUCAAAACUGUGUUCUGUGUAAAGGACCUACUGUGUGAACAUCAAAAUCACUGACAAGAAAUGUUGUCUUCUUUCCAUGAUGUAGGAUAAUUUUGGAAACGCCAUCACCAUCUCGCUAGUG